rnacentral:rRNA from 1 species
UACGUAGGGUGCAGGCGUUAAUCGGAAUUACUGGGCGUAAAGUGUGCGCAGGCGGUCUGCUAAGAGAGAUGUGAAAUCCCCGGGCUUAACCUGGGAACUGCGUUUCUAACUGGCAGGCUUGAGUGUGGCAGAGGGGGGUGGAAUUCCACGUGUAGCAGUGAAAUGCGUAGAGAUGUGGAGGAACACCGAUGGCGAAGGCAGCCCCCUGGGCUAACACUGACGCUCAUGCACGAAAGCGUGGGGAGCAAACAGG